UACAGAGGUCCCAAGCGUUGUUCGGAUUCACUGGGCGUAAAGGGUGCGCAGGUGGGUUUGCAAGUUUGAUGUGAAAGCCCCGGGCUUAACCCGGGAACUGCAUCUGUGACUGCAUAGCUAGAGUACGGUAGAGGGGGAUGGAAUUCCGCGUGUAGCAGUGAAAUGCGUAGAUAUGCGGAGGAACACCGAUGGCGAAGGCAAUCCCCUGGACCUGUACUGACGCUCAUGCACGAAAGCGUGGGGAGCAAACAGG
rnacentral:rRNA from 1 species